UUGGGAAUAUUGGACAAUGGGUGAAAACCUGAUGGUGCGACGCCGCGUGGGGGAAGAAGGUCUUCGGAUCGUAAACCCCUGUCAUGUGGGAGCAAGCAGCGAUGUAGAUAGUACCACAAGAGGAAGAGACGGCUAACUCUGUGCCAGCAGCCGCGGUAAUACGUAGGGUGCAAGCGUUGUCCGGAUUUACUGGGUGUAAAGGGAGCGUAGGCGGGGUUGUAAGUUGGAUGUGAAAUGUACCGGCUCAACUGGUAAACUGCAUUCAAAACUGUGACUCUUGAGUGAAGUAGAGGCAGGCGGAAUUCGUGGUGUAGCGGUGAAAUGCUUAGAUAUCACGAAGAACUCCAAUUGCGAAGGCAGCUCACUAGACUGGUCACUGACACUGAGGCUCGAAAAUGUGGGUAUCAAACA
rnacentral:rRNA from 1 species